UACAGAGGGUGCAAGCGUUAAUCGGAUUUACUGGGCGUAAAGCGUGCGUAGGCGGUUCAGUAUGUCGGUCGUGAAAUCCCUGGGCUCAACCUGGGAACUGCGGCCGAAACUGCUGGGCUUGAGUGUGGUAGAGGGAGGUGGAAUUCCGGGAGUAGCGGUGAAAUGCGUAGAGAUCCGGAGGAACACCGAUGGCGAAAGCAGCCUCCUGGGCCACAACUGACGCUGAGGUACGAAAGCGUGGGGAGCAAACAGG
rnacentral:rRNA from 1 species